rnacentral:tRNA from 1 species
UGGCGAAGUGGUCGAACCCAUCUCCAUAUCAAGGAGACAGUCGCGGGUUCGAAUCCCGC